rnacentral:tRNA from 1 species
CAAAAAAUAAUUUAAAAAAAAUAUUAGCUUUGGAAGCUAAAAAUCAAAUCCUAUUUGUUUUUUGA